rnacentral:rRNA from 1 species
GUAGGUCCCGAGCGUUAUCCGGAUUUAUUGGGCGUAAAGCGAGCGCAGGCGGUUAGAUAAGUCUGAAGUUAAAGGCUGUGGCUUAACCAUAGUACGCUUUGGAAACUGUUUAACUUGAGUGCAGAAGGGGAGAGUGGAAUUCCAUGUGUAGCGGUGGAAUGCGUAGAUAUAUGGAGGAACACCGGUGGCGAAAGCGGCUCUCUGGUCUGUAACUGACGCUGAGGCUCGAAAGCGUGGGGAGCAAACAGGAUUAGAUACCCUGGUAGUCCACGCCGUAAACGAUGAGUGCUAGGUGUUGGGCCCUUUCCGGGGCUUAGUGCCGCAGCUAACGCAUUAAGCACUCCGCCUGGGGAGUACGACCGCAAGGUUG